CUUUGAAGAAGAGAAGCCUGGAACUAUGUUUGCCAUAAUCCCCUUUGUCAUAUGAUUCCAGGGUGGAAUGUAACAACGAGAGGCACCCUUGAGCCAUAGUGAUGAAGAGAUCAUUCUCUAGAGUCAGUUGCGGUCAGAGGUAUGAAUGGGUGUGAUAUUGCUAAAAACGUCAAGGUUUUGAUGCCAAGGAAAUUCCCUCGUAAACAUCUAUUGGAUAAACUCCAUCUUGGAGUCUGUCUCCUAGGGAACUGAACCCAUGACAACAAUUGUAUGACAUCUUUAAGUACUAAAACCUAAAUGCCAACCGAGAAUUCUGUAUGCAGCAAGAUUUUCUUGCAAAAAGGAAAGCAAAAUAAAGAUAUUUUCAGAUAAAAGCUGA